UCUGUUGUAGUCUAGUUGAUUAGGAUACUCGUCUCUCACGUGAGAGACCCGGUUUCGAGUCUUGUCUCCAAAA